GCCGUAAGCAGCACGCUUGACGAAUGACGCGCUUUCAGCGCUGGUGGAUUUCCUAAAACCCCUUGCCCUUGACCUCCAUUUUCAACAAUCCCCUCUCUCUCUAUCUCUCUCCCCAUCCAUCUGUCUCUUAACUCAUUUACAGCCGCAAUUCUGAGCUUCUCUCCUCACUGAUUUCUUCAGAUUUUUGGGCGGAUUUCAAUUAAAUCGACUGCUACAGCGUUGCCGCGGCGUAAAGAGGACUUCAAGAGUCUGAUUCUUGACUGAAUGGCUUCAAUGGAAUCUUCUUUUUGGUGCUACAGAUGCAACCGCUCCAUCAGGGUCAGGGUUCGGGCAAUCCAUGAUUCGAUUCUU
rnacentral:misc_RNA from 1 species